rnacentral:rRNA from 1 species
CGGGGAAUAUUGGGCAAUGGGCGAAAGCCUGACCCAGCGACGCCGCGUGGGUGAUGAAGGCCUUCGGGUUGUAAAGCCCUUUCGUGCGGAAAGAACAGUCCCGUAGUGAAUAUCUACGGGAUUUGACGGUACCGCAGGAAGAAGCACCGGCUAACUCCGUGCCAGCAGCCGCGGUAAUACGGAGGGUGCAAGCGUUGUUCGGAAUUAUUGGGCGUAAAGGGCGCGUAGGUGGUUGUGAUAGUCAGAUGUGAAAUCUUCUGGCUCAACUGGAGAGCUGCAUCUGAAACUUCAUAACUCGAGUACAGGAGAGGGAAACGGAAUUCCCGGUGUAGAGGUGAAAUUCGUAGAUAUCGGGAGGAACACCAGUGGCGAAGGCGGUUUCCUGGCCUGAUACUGACACUGAGGCGCGAAAGCGUGGGGAGCAAACAG